rnacentral:rRNA from 1 species
CAGCCGCCGCGGGAAUACGAAGGGGGCUAGCGUUGUUCGGAAUCACUGGGCGUAAAGGGUGCGUAGGCGGAUUCUUAAGUCAGGGGUGAAAUCCCGAGGCUCAACCUCGGAACUGCCUUUGAUACUGGGGAUCUUGAGUCCGGAAGAGGUGAGUGGAACUGCGAGUGUAGAGGUGAAAUUCGUAGAUAUUCGCAAGAACACCGGUGGCGAAGGCGGCUCACUGGUCCGGAACUGACGCUGAGGCACGACAGCGUGGGGAGCAAACAGGAUUAGAUACCCGUGUAGUCCCUGUCUCUUAUAC